CCUACGGGGGGCUGCAGUAACGAAUCUUCCGCAAUGCACGAAAGUGUGACGGAGCGACGCCGCGUGUGGGACGAAGUUCUUCGGAAUGUAAACCACUGUCAGAGGUUCUACCUCAGAGGAAGGCACGGCUAACUCUGUGCCAGCAGCCGCGGUAAGACAGAGGUGCCGAGCGUUAGGCGGAAUCACUGGGCUUAAAGCGUGUGUAGGCGGGUCCGUAAGUACCUUGUGAAAUCCCACGGCUCAACCGUGGAACUGCUUGGUAUACUGCGGAUCUUGAGCCACCUAGGGGCAACUGGAACAAACGGUGGAGCGGUGAAAUGCGUGAUAUCGUUUGGAACGCCAAUGGUGAAAACAAGUUGCUGGGUGUGCUGACGCUGAGACACGAAAGCCAGGGGAGAAACGGGAUUAGAUACCCUAGUAGUC
rnacentral:rRNA from 1 species